AUGGCGGAGGAACUGUCUGCCAAGCGUCAGUGCAGCGAGACGUCCGACCAGAGCAGCAACCUCGACGACGUUCAUGUCCCCGGCGAGAAGCGCGAGUACACCCGAACCCUCACAGGGGUUGAGAUCCACGGCAAGGAGAUGCUGGAGGUCGUCUGCACCAGCAAACCAGACAAGGCCGAAGAGAUGAUCAGCAGGCUCUGGAGGAAGGCUGGCGGCUUGUAUCCUAGGUUUGUUGGUGUUCAUGUGGAGUAUACCAGGGAAGACGAACCUCCGCAGAGAUCAGCAGUUAUGCAACUAUGUGUGGAGGAACUCUGCCUGGUGUACCAUGUCGCAACGGCCACAAAAUGCAAAAAAACUAAGAAGUUGGUGAAGCACUGGCCUAAGAGCCUCAACGAUAUGCUGAAGCAUGAGAAGUUGUUCACCUUUGUUGGUUUCAACAUUCAAGGUGACAAGGAGAAGUUGAAGAUGUAUGGUUUCGAGAUCAACCCCAACAAGAAGGAGGACCAUAAUCUGUGGGGGAUCAGCCCGCUACCAAAUUACCUCAUCGAGUACACAACGAUAGAUGUGUACGCCACCUACAAGUCAUGGAAGAUAAUCGACAACAUCUCCACAGGUCUAGAAAUUUCAAAAGAGUAG
rnacentral:rRNA from 1 species